CUCUGGGACAGGAAUGGGGUCCCCUCCCCCAUUGCAAGCUCUUGACUCACAACUUAAUCUGACGGAGAUGUUUAGUGUUGGGAUAAGUUCACAGAGAAGGAAACUGAGGCACUGCGAGGCUACAGAAUUCUCCCAAGGAACCACAAUUAAGAGCAGACUCUCCAGUGCUCCUGGCGCUCAUCAUCAACUGACUCUUCAACCUGGA